UACGUAGGUGGCAAGCGUUGUCCGGAAUCACUGGGCGUAAAGCGCGCGCAGGCGGCGAUCUACGUCUGGGGUGAAACUCCGGAGCUCAACUCCGGACGUGCAUAGGAUACUGGAGGGCUAGAGACUGGUAGAGGCGAGCGGAAUUCCUGGUGUAGCGGUGAAAUGCGCAGAUAUCAGGAGGAACACCGGUGGCGAAGGCGGGUCUCUGGGCCGAUACUGACGCUGAGGAGCGAAAGCGUGGGGAGCGAACAGG
rnacentral:rRNA from 1 species